rnacentral:rRNA from 1 species
UACGUAGGGUGCAAGCGUUAAUCGGAAUUACUGGGCGUAAAGCGUGCGCAGGCGGUUGUGCAAGACCGAUGUGAAAUCCCCGGGCUUAACCUGGGAAUGGCAUUGGUGACUACACGGCUAGAGUGUGUCAGAGGGGGGUAGAAUUCCACGUGUAGCAGUGAAAUGCGUAGAGAUGUGGAGGAAUACCGAUGGCGAAGGCAGCCCCCUGGGAUAACACUGACGCUCAUGCACGAAAGCGUGGGGAGCAAACAGG